rnacentral:misc_RNA from 1 species
CACGUAGGAUUCGAACGUUAUCCGGAAUUACUGGGCGUAAAGCGCGUGUAGGCGGUUUAGAAAGUUGGGUGUUAAAUCUCCGGGCUCAACCCGGAGUCGUCGACCAAUACUACUAAACUAGAGGACGGUAGAGGGAGGUGGAAUUCCGGGUGUAGCGGUGAAAUGCGUAGAUACCCGGAGGAACACCAGUGGCGAAGGCGGCCUCCUGGGCCGUACCUGACGCUCAGACGCGAAAGCUAGGGUAGCGAACGGG